AUAAAUAUUUAAAAAGAAAAUGUGAUUACAAGUUUGUAGUGUACUAUUCAUUAUUUUCUUUACAUUAAUAUCAAUACAAAGAGCAUUCGUACUUGUUUAUGUGUAUCCGUAGGAAAAAUAUUUGUUUCCAAAGCUCAAGGAACAUAGAGAAAUGCGAUUGCUAGUUAUUAUGGUUUAUUGAAAUUUAUAAAUGACUAGGAGUAAAUUUAUUUGUGGGUUUUUUUUAGAUGGUGAACGGUCGAAUCAGAAUUAGUAUGGACAAGGGGAAGCUGAUUGUUUAAUUAAAACAAAGCAUUGUGAUGGUCCCUACGGAUGACACAAUGUUAAUGAGAUUCCCAUUGUCCCUAUCUACUAUCUAGUGAAACCAAAGCCAAAGAAACGGGCUUGG
rnacentral:ncRNA from 1 species